GGAAAGAUGAAAAGAACUUUGAAAAGAGAGUUAAACAGUACGUGAAAUUGUUGAAAGGGAAACGAUUGAAGCCAGUCGUACCGGCGGGUAAUCAGCCUUUCGGGUAUGAUUCUGUGGAGCGUGAGGAGUUAAACGCCUUCAUGCCUGCAUAUUCGUGCUCUUGGGUGUACUUGCUCGUGUGGUUGGUUAACAUCAAUUUCGGUUAUCAUAAAAUGGCUGGAGGAGUGUAGCUUCGAUCUCGUAUUGAAGUGUUAUAGCCUUCGGCAGAUGUGAUGAUUGGGAUUGAGGAUUGCAACGGAUACCCUUCGGGGCUACCUGUCUGGUCUCUGAUCGUUGCUUUGGUGCCGAAAGCGUGCUUACGGUUAUCAAAGUCGAUGGUCAAUAGGUUAGAACGGGUUAAAUUCGUUAAGGAUGUUGACGUAAUGGCUUUAAACGACCCGUCUUGAAACACGGACCA
rnacentral:rRNA from 1 species